AUUGCUUCUCAGCCUUUUGGCUAAGAUCGAAUGUAGUAUCUGUUUUUAUCAGUUUAAUAUCUGGCAUGUCCUAUAUCGGAGGACCAUAUAUUAAAUGGGUUUUUGGAGUGGGAGAUGGAAUAAGAGCUUGCUCCGUCCACUCCACCCAUCGACUUGCUAUGCAGUACUUCCAGGAACGGUGCACCCCCU
ensembl:snRNA U2 U2 spliceosomal RNA